rnacentral:rRNA from 1 species
GACGAACGCUGGCGGCGUGCUUAACACAUGCAAGUCGAACGGAAAGGCCCUGCUUUUGUGGGGUUCUCGAGUGGCGAACGGGUGAGUAACACGUGAGUAACCUGCCCUUGACUUUGGGAUAACUUCAGGAAACUGGGGCUAAUACCGGAUAGGAGCUCCUGCUGGAUGGUGGGGGGUGGAAAGUUUGGGCGGGUGGGGAUGGACUCGCGGCUUAUCAGCUUGUUGGUGGGGUAGUGGCUUACCAAGGCUUUGGCGGGUAGCCGGCCUGAGAGGGUGAACGGCCACAUUGGGACUGAGAUACGGCCCAGACUCCUACGGGAGGCAGCAGUGGGGAAUAUUGCACAAUGGGCGGAAGCCUGAUGCAGCACCGCCGCGUGCGGGAUGACGGCCUUCGGGUUGUAAACAGCUUUCGCCUGUGACGAAGCGUGAGUGACGGUAAUGGGUAAAGAAGCACCGGCUAACUACGUG